CCCGCUCAGAAACUCAAGGAAUUGACGGGGGCCCGCACAAGCGGUGGAGCAUGUGGUUUAAUUCGAUGAUACGCGAGGAACCUUACCUGGGCUCAAAUGUAUGUUGACGUAUUCUGAAAGGGAUACUUCUUCGGACAAUAUACAAGGUGCUGCAUGGUUGUCGUCAGCUCGUGCCGUGAGGUGUCGGGUUAAGUCCCAUAACGAGCGCAACCCCUAUCAUUAGUUGCCAUCAGGUCAAGCUGGGGACUCUAAUGAAACUGCCUACGCAAGUAGUGAGGAAGGUGGGGAUGACGUCAAAUCAGCACGGCCUUACGUCCAGGGCUACACACGUGCUACAAUGGCCGGUACAAAGGGCAGCUACCUGGUGACAGGAUGCUAAUCUCAAAAGCCGGUCUCAGUUCGGAUUGGAGGCUGCAACUCGCCUCCAUGAAGUCGGAAUCGCUAGUAACCGCAGAUCAGCUACGUUGCGGUGAAUACGUUCCCGGGCCUU
rnacentral:rRNA from 1 species